ACUCAAAUGAAUAGACGGGGGCCCGCACAAGCGGUGGAUCAUGUGGUUUAAUUCGAAGCAACGCGCAGAACCUUACCUAGGUUUGACAUCUCUGGACCGUCGUAGAGAUACGAUUUCUGUAGCAAUACAGCCGGAUGACAGGUGCUGCAUGGCUGUCGUCAGCUCGUGUGGUGACAUGUUGGGUUAAGUCCCGCAACGAGCGCAACCCCUGUUCUUAGUUGCCAGCAUUUAGUUGGGCUCUCUAAGGAGACUGCCGUGGUUAACACGGAGGAAGGUGGGGAUGACGUCAAGUCCUCAUGGCCUUUAUAUCUAGGGCGACACACGUGAUACAAUGGACGGUACAAAGGGAAGCGAAGGGGUGACCCCGAGCCAAUCUCAAAAAACCGUUCUCAGUUCGGAUUGGAGUCUGCAACCCGACUCCAUGAAGUUGGAAUCGCUAGUAAUCGCGGAUCAGCACGCCGCGGUGAAUACGUUCCCGGGCCUUGUACACACCGCCCGU
rnacentral:rRNA from 1 species